GUGGAACCUUUGUGGGUUAUCAGGGGGACCACCCCUUUUAGGCUUUAUACUACUUAGUGUACCGAUAGCGCAUAGUACCUGUGAAGGUAAAGGUGAAAGGACCCCGGGAGGGGAGUGAAAGAGAACCUGAAACCCUGUGUCUACAAGCUGUGGAAGUGCUUUAUAUGCACGACCGCGUACUUUUUGUAGAACGGUCCGGCGAGUUACGCUUACUGGCAAGGUUAAGCACUUCAGGUGCGGAGCCGUAGGGAAACCAAGUCUUAAGAGGGCCUUAAGUCAGUAGGAGUAGACCCGAAACCGGGUGAUCUAUCCAUGUCCAGGUUGAAGCUGCCGUAAGAGGUAGUGGAGGACCGAACCCACAUCCGUUGAAAAGGGUGGGGAUGAGGUGUGGAUAGGGGAGAAAUUCCAAUCGAACCCGGAGAUAGCUGGUUCUCCUCGAAAUAGCUUUAGGGCUAGCCUCGAUACAGAUUUGCGGAGGUAGAGCACUGAAUUUCCUAGGGGGCGUCAAAGCCUACCGAAGAAUAUCAAACUCCGAAUGCCGCGUAAUCGAUUAUCGGGAGUCAGACUGCACGAGAUAAGUUGGGCGGUCAAAAGGGAAAGAGCCCAGACCUUCAGUUAAGGUCCCCAAGUGCGCGUUAAGUGGAAAAGGAUGUGGGAUUUCGAAGACAACCAGGAUGUUGGCUCAGAAGCAGCCAUCCAUUCAAAGAGUGCGUAAUAGCUCACUGGUCGAGAGGUCCUGCGCCGAAAAUGUCCGGGGCUGAAACGCGCCACCGAAACUAAGGAACCGAAAGGUUGGUAGAGGAGCAUUGCAUGCGGGAAGAAGCAGUACCGGAAGGAGCUGUGGACUGCAUGGAAGAGAGAAUGCCGGAAUGAGUAGCGAGAAUAAGGUGAGAAUCCUUAUGGCCGAAUAUCCAAGGUUUCCAGAGUAAAGCUGAUCUGCUCUGGGUAAGUCGGGGCCUAAGGCGAGGACGAGAGUCGUAGCCGAUGGACAACAGGUGGAGAUUCCUGUACUGCGGUAUGACAGAACUGUGGGGACACGUAAGGAAAGCGGAAGCCGGGAAUGGAAAGCCCGGUGCAAGCGGGGUACCAGUCACUUUGGCAAAUCCGGGUGGCAAUGGGAAGCCGUGAUGCGGAGUGAAAUAAAGUAACGAAGUCCGUGAGCCAUGCGUCAAGAAAAGCCGCUAUCGUUUAUACCGUACCCGUACCGUAAACCGACACAGGUGGAUGAGGAGAGAAUCCUAAGGCCGGCGGAAGAAGCAUUGUCAAGGAACUCGGCAAAAUGGCCCCGUAACUUAGGGAUAAGGGGUGCCUGGGAAACCAGGCCGCAGAGAAUAGGCUCAAGCAACUGUUUAGCAAAAACACAGGUCUAUGCGAAACCGAAAGGUGAGGUAUAUGGGCUGACGCCUGCCCGGUGCUGGAAGGUUAAGAGGAGAGGUUAGCGGUAACGCGAAGCUUUGAAUUUAAGCCCCAGUAAACGGCGGCCGUAACUAUAACGGUCCUAAGGUAGCGAAAUUCCUUGUCGGGUAAGUUCCGACCCGCACGAAAGGCGUAAUGAUUUGAGCGCUGUCUCGACAAUGCAUCCGGUGAAAUUGAAGUACCAGUGAAGAUGCUGGUUACCUGCGCCAGGACGGAAAGACCCCAUGGAGCUUUACUCCAGUCUGGUACUGGGACUCGGUAUUGCAUGUACAGGAUAGGUGGGAGGCUAGGAGAUGGUAACGCCAGUUGCCAUGGAGCCGCUGUUGGGAUACCACCCUUGCAGUAUUGGGUUUCUAACCAGCCGCCGUGACCCGGCGGUGGGACAAUGCCAGACGGGGAGUUUGACUGGGGCGGUCGCCUCCGAAAGGGUAUCGGAGGCGCCCAAAGGUUCCCUCAGAAUGGACGGAAACCAUUCGAAGAGUGCAAAGGCAGAAGGGAGCUUGACUGCGACACCGACGGGUGGAGCAGGUACGAAAGUAGGGCUUAGUGAUCCGGUGGUAUUAAGUGGGAAUGCCAUCGCUCAACGGAUAAAAGCUACCCUGGGGAUAACAGGCUUAUCACUCCCAAGAGUUCACAUCGACGGAGUGGUUUGGCACCUCGAUGUCGGCUCAUCGCAUCCUGGGGCUGUAGUAGGUCCCAAGGGUUGGGCUGUUCGCCCAUUAAAGCGGUACGCGAGCUGGGUUCAGAACGUCGUGAGACAGUUCGGUCCCUAUCCGGCGUGGGCGUAGGAUAUCUGAGAGGAGCUGUCCUUAGUACGAGAGGACCGGGAUGGACGGGCCGCUGGUGCAUCGGUUAGACUGCCAAGUCUACGGCCGAGUAGCCAAGCCCGGAAGGGAUAAAUGCUGAAGGCAUCUAAGCGUGAAGCCCCCCUUAAGAUGAGAUAUCCCAUUCGAAAGAAGUAAACCCCCUUGAAGACGACGAGGUAGAUAGGGCAGAGGUGGAAGUGUGGCAACACAUGGAGCUGACUGUUACUAAUCGGGUGAGGGCUUGACCAA
rnacentral:rRNA from 1 species